CAUGUUUGAAUGGCCAUGACA
rnacentral:miRNA from 1 species